rnacentral:miRNA from 10 species
UGUAAACAUCCUUGACUGGAAG